GAGAGUAUAGCUCAAGUGGUAGGGCACUUGCCUAGCAUACAUGAGGUCCUGGGUUCAAUCCCCAGUACCUCCU
rnacentral:tRNA from 1 species